AGCGAGCGCUGGCGGCAGGCCUAACACAUGCAAGUCGAACGAAGUCUUCGGACUUAGUGGCGGACGGGUGAGUAACACGUGGGAACGUACCUUUUGGUUCGGAACAACUCAGGGAAACUUGAGCUAAUACCGGAUGAGCCCUUAGGGGGAAAGAUUUAUCGCCGAAAGAGCGGCCCGCGUUAGAUUAGCUAGUUGGUGAGGUAAAGGCUCACCAAGGCUACGAUCUAUAGCUGGUCUGAGAGGAUGAUCAGCCACACUGGGACUGAGACACGGCCCAGACUCCUACGGGAGGCAGCAGUGGGGAAUCUUGCGCAAUGGGCGAAAGCCUGACGCAGCCAUGCCGCGUGAAUGAUGAAGGUCUUAGGAUUGUAAAAUUCUUUUACCAGGGACGAUAAUGACGGUACCUGGAGAAAAAGCCCCGGCUAACUCUGUGCCAGCCGCCGCUGUAAGAC
rnacentral:rRNA from 1 species